UACUCCGCAAGGGGUAUGGGACUGGAGAGCACUUGAACAAAUACACUUUGGUGCUGCCUCUGCAAACAUACGCCGCGAUUUUCCUCUCGCAUUGGCCUCUAGAGCUUUCAGUCUCCUUCGCAGAACGAAUUGCCGCGUGUAGAACAAUGGGCAAAUGUACAGACAUCCCACAAUGCAUUGUGCGACUUCAGCUCUCCUGCUACUAAGUCUAUUGGCUGCGAGCGAGUUAGCUGCCGCCCGACGUUCGUACAGACACAGCAGCUUCCACCGGUCAGAGUGCAAACCGAGACGCGGAAACAUCCAAGUGGAGCAUAAACUCGGCUGCGUCUUCACGUUACCGAGCCAGGGCUGCCACGGGGAGUGCUUGUCGUCAGUCAAACCCUUCGCGCACAAGUCAGGGUUCGCCACGAGCUGCUCGUGUUGUGCACCUAUACAGUACAAGAUACAGAAAGUGGUAGGGCGGUGCAAAGGAAGGCCUGUCACCGUCUACCACCCGAUAGCACUGAGGUGCGCGUGCAGACCUUGUUGACGACAAAGAUUGAGCAGGGACUCAGAUAUUCUAAUUCGUUGCCAUGGAGACAGAUAAUAUCGAACGCACCUGGACUCUACGGAGGCAGUAACGUGUAAUGAGGGCUUGAUUGACACUUGUUGCUUUUCAAUGUUAACAUUCAUGUUUAAUUGUACAUAUUGUAUAGCAUAGAUUAAUUUAUUCAUACAGGGCCAGCACCAACAAAAAAAAAUACUUUCAAAUAAUUCUAAGAACCCCCGAAUGGUUACCAAAGUAAGUGGAAGUGAUCUCCAAAGUAGUACCCGGAAGUGCUUUUGUUGAGUUAAACCACAGAGGUAUCGGUCAAAUAGGCCAAUGCUAACACGCCUUUACACCCCAACAUAAUUUUAUAAGAGUACACCUUUCCCCGGGCACCCUCGCGUACAAUACACCACUAAACUAUGAAAUAAAUUGUCCCACUGA